AUGCCAGAAACUGAGGGAAUUACCACUUCUGCCUCCAAGCCUAAUAUCGUUGAAAAUGCAAGAUGUUUGGCUGACCAAGUUUCCUAUUAUUGGCAAGGCAUCGAGUCAAAAUCAUCUAAGUUGAUUAACGUAAGGGUCACCAACUGUCCUCAUUUAACUUCGUUGGAAGGGAGCCUUUUGGAGCAAAAACUGUACAUGGGAACUCUCCGUGUCCUAAGACUUGUUGAUUGUAAACAUCUGGAGUCCGCAUCCAUACCAUUUGAAGAAAUGAAACAACUUAAGGAACUUGCAGUAAUGCAAUGUCCAAAGUUGAGGACGAUGAGAGAUGCCAAAGAUAAGCUUGUGCCAUCGUCAGUAAGAGAACUAGCUAUUGGCGGGUGUGGUGACCUGGAACUUCCACUACUUGGGUCACUGCAGCUGCUCACCAACCUAUCUACGCUCCAGCUGCAGAACUGCUCGAGCCUGUUAUCUCUCCCGUCCGCGGAUGUGUUCAAGAGUUUCAGGUCGCUGCACAACAUACGUGUAACGCGAUGCGAGAAUCUCUCGUCCCUGGGAGGGCUCGGAUCACUGUCAUCCCUUCAGGACUUAGCUAUCUCCAAGCUAUCUGGUUCUGGUGAUGCAGAAGAGCAUCUGGUGGAGACCGGCAACUCACUGCGGAUAAGUUCUCUUAGCUUUGAUCUGCCGUCCUUGCUGCUUCAUGAGCCGCUCAAGAGUCUGUGCCAUACUGAAACUUUACACAUUAAUGACUGUUCAGAGACAAAGAGCUUACCUGAACGAUGGCUGCUACAGAACCGCUCAUCCCUCCGACACCUGAGUAUACUGAAAGCAGAAUCCUUGGAAUCGCUCCCACCGAGCAUGCAAGACCUUUGCUCUCUCAAGGCAUUAUACCUUGAUGAUGCUCUGCUACUCCGAUCACUUCCAUAUCUCCCCUCCUCCUUGAAGAAUCUGAACAUUAUAAAAUGCCAUUCAGCCCUGGAGGAGAAGAUCACAAAACAUGGAAGCCCUGAAUUGAACAAGAUUGCCCACAUCCCUGACGUGCAAAUAGGAGGUUGGCAUUUCCUUAUGGGCAAGAAAUUCAGCAGAGAGGCUUACCAUAAACUGAGUGAUAGUGACCGCAACAGAUUUAUGUCCGGGUCGUCGCUGCACUAG
rnacentral:rRNA from 1 species